GUUAUAGAUAUGGAGACCCUCAAGAAUAAGUUAAACACAGCCAGUAUGCAUAUAGGGACUGGUUUCCAUGCUACUGCAAACUGGGCUCCAAUUGUUGUUAAAUCACAGGUUAUAGGAUUGGAUUUAGAUAAAUCAAUGUAUAAAUAUUUAGAUAAUUUAACUGUUGCAACUAUGAAAUUCACUACAGGUCUAAGUAACUGGAGUACUUGUGCCAUCAGGUAUUUAUGGAUACAAC